CCCGCGCUCCUCCGGGCAGAGCGCGUGUGGCGGCCGAGCACAUGGGCCCGCGGGCCGGGCGGGCUCGGGGCGGCCGGGACGAGGAGGGGCGACGACGAGCUGCGAGCAAAGAUGUGCCCCGGGACCCCCGGCACCUUCCAGUGGAUUUCCUUGCGGAAAGGAUGUUGGCGGUCCCUGUGACCUGUGGAGACACGGCCAGAUCUGCCCUCCAGCCUGAUCUUUUGGCCAGAAGGAGAUUAAAAAGAUGCCCCUCAAGAUGGCUGUGCCUGUCAGCUGCAUGGAGCUUCGUUCAAGUAUUUUCUGAGCCUGAUGGAUUUACAGUGAUCUUCAGUGGUCUGGGGAAUAACGCUGGUGGAACCAUGCACUGGAAUGACACACGCCCGGCACAUUUCAGGAUACUAAAAGUGGUUUUAAGGGAGGCUGUGGCUGAAUGCCUCAUGGAUUCUUACAGCUUGGAUGUCCAUGGGGGACGAAGGACUGCAGCUGGCUGAGAGGGUUGAGAUCUCUGUUUACUUAGAUCUCUGCCAACUUCCUUUGGGUCUCCCUAUGGAAUGUAAGACCCCGACUCUUCCUGGUGAAGCAUCUGAUGCACGUUCCAUCCGGCGCUCAGCUGGGCUUGAGCUGACCAUACUCCCUGGAGCCUUCUCCCGAGGUGCGCGGGUGACCUUGGCACAUACAGCCAUCAUGAUGGUACUUUAAGUGGAGGCUGAAUCAUCUCCCCUUUGAGCUGCUUGGCACGUGGCUCCCUUGGUGUUCCCCUUUUACUGCCAGGACACUGAGAUUUGGAGAGAAUCCUGUUACACCUGGGAUUUAGGCACUUUCAAUCUGAAAAAAUACAUAUCCUUUCAGCACUCUGGACGGACUUGAGAACUGUCCUUACGUGACCUAAAGCUGGAGUAUUUUGAGAUUGGAGAAUUAAGCUCCUGACCUGUCUAGCUCCUGACCCUCUCAGUGUCAUUCUUGCUCACCCCUGGCCCUGCUCCCUGGAUAUGCAGACAGGAUGGGCUUCUUCCCUUUAGACCUUCACUUUGCUCUUUUGGACUCCUCUUCUGGCCUUGCCUUCCCCUGGUGUCAUCUGCUGGCUCCCUGCCUGAUACUGCCACACUGGUCAUGCUGGCCUCCUGGCCUUUGGUGACACCGCAUCAGCAGGCUCCUGCUUCCCUGUCAAGGGAUACAAGCCAGCACCGGUCUUUCGCCACAAGAGUGUGGGCACCCUGGCUUCAAGCUCACGAGAAACCAGAAGGAAGUCACUGUGCAUAGCCAUCCCCUAAGAAGAGGGCAUUCCUGCUCUUCCUUCUCCAUGGCUAGAGGAUCUACAUGAACUAUUUAGAUUUUUUCUACCUGGGAGAUUUAACUCCUCUCUCCUAUUUAUUUAUUUAUAUAUCAGCAUGGACUUGCAGGCCAACAGAGAUUUUGAGAAACACAUUGAAGGAUCUGUUAACACUUGAUAUACCCAAUAAAAGCAGUGGUUGUGCCAGUGCUGAUCUGUCUUGAUGUGAAUGUGAACAAUGGGAACCUGAGCUGAGCAGUUAAUGCUAGGGUGACAGAAACUGGACCUCUCCCAAGACAUGUGACAGAGUAAUACAGCAGCCAACUUCUUCGCCAAAUUAAAGUUUUACAAGAUUUAACCUGUCAUCAAGACCUGGGAUUUUGGUGAGCCAGUCUUGGUGCUCUGUGUUCACCUGGUUCAUCUGAGGAGCUGCAUCUACCCUGCCCAUGCCAUAGAUCCUGCCCUGUUUGCUUCUCCUGUUGCUGCUAGUGGACAUGAGGUAACCACAGCCUAGUUCUGUGAUAAGCUCUUCACACCUGUACCCAUAUGGACUGUGGGAGAGUUUCUCUGAUAUGGACUGUGAUGCGGAAGGACAGAAUAACGGGCUCCCAGAUUCACAAGCCCCACCAAGAGGAUCACCCCAGGAACGCUUGGAGGCUGAGGAGUUCACUGAGGCUACUGCAUCUUGAGACUCAGGAUGAAGACCCAGCUUGGGGCUGUCAAAGGUUUUUUGCAUGUCUGACACCCAUGACUCCACCUGGACCUUAUGGCUCCACCCAGAAGCAAUUCAGCCCAACAGGAGGACAGCUUCAACCCAUUACGAUUUCAUCUCUGCCCCAACCACUCAGCAGCAAGCACCUGUUACCUGUCCACCCCCACCCCUUCCCCCAAACUGCCUUUGAAAAAUCCCUAACCUAUGAGCUUUGAAUAAGAUGAGUACGAACUUCAUCGCCCACGUGGCGUGGCCGGCCUCGUGUCUAUUAAAUUCUUUUUCUACUACAA
rnacentral:lncRNA from 1 species